rnacentral:rRNA from 1 species
GAUGAACGCUGGCGGCGUGCCUAAUACAUGCAAGUCGAGCGAACGGACGAGAAGCUUGCUCCUCUGACGUUAGCGGCGGACGGGUGAGUAACACGUGGAUAACCUACCUAUAAGACUGGGAUAACUUCGGGAAACCGGAGCUAAUACCGGAUGAUAUAUUGAACCGCAUGGUUCAAUAGUGAAAGACGGUUUUGCUGUCACUUAUAGAUGGAUCCGCGCUGCAUUAGCUAGUUGGUAAGGUAACGGCUUACCAAGGCAACGAUGCGUAGCCGACCUGAGAGGGUGAUCGGCCACACUGGAGCUGAGACACGGUCCAGACUCCUACGGGAGGCAGCAGUAGGGAAUAUUGCGCAAUGGGCGAAAGCCUGACGGAGCAACGCCGCGUGAGUGAUGAAGGUCUUCGGAUCGUAAAACUCUGUUAUUAGGGAAGAACAAAUGUGUAAGUAACUAUGCACGUCUUGACGGUACCUAAUCAGAAAGCCACGGCUAACUACGUG